GGAGGCGUGGCAGAGCGGCCUAACGCGGGCACCUGAUAAGUGCCAAGUGACUCAAAUCAUUCGGGGGUUCGAAUCCCCCCGCCUGUC
rnacentral:tRNA from 1 species